CCUUGAGAGUCCUGAAGGAACGUUAAAGACGAUGACGUUGAUAGGUCGGGUGUGUAAGCGUAGCGAUACGUUGAGCUAACCGAUACUAAUGAACCGUGAGGCUUAACCUU
rnacentral:rRNA from 1 species